CGCAGCCGCGGUAAUUCCAGCUCCAAUAGCGUAUAUUAAAGUUGUUGCAGUUAAAAAGCUCGUAGUUGAAUUUCGGGGUUAGUAGGUUGGUCAUGCCUCUGGUAUGUACUGGUCUCACUGAUUCCUCCUUCCUGAUGAGCCGUAAUGCCAUUAAUUUGGUGUUGCGGGGAAUUUGGACUGUUACUUUGAAAAAUUAGAGUGUUUAAAGCAAGCUAACGCUUGAAUACAUUAGCAUGGAAUAAUGAAAUAGGACGUUCGAUCCUAUUUUGUUGGUUUCUAGGAUUGACGUAAUGAUUAAUAGGGAUAGUUGGGGGCAUUAGUAUUCAAUUGUCAGAGGUGAAAUUCUUGGAUUUAUUGAAGACUAACUACUGCGAAAGCAUUUGCCAAGGAUGUUUUCAUUAAUCAAGAACGAAAGUUAGGGGAUCGAAGACGAUCAGAUACCGUCGUAGUCUUAACCAUAAACUAUGCCGACUAGGGAUCGGAUGAUGUUAAUUUUUAAUGACUCAUUCGGCGCCUUACG
rnacentral:misc_RNA from 1 species